rnacentral:rRNA from 1 species
CAGCGCCACAAGUGGGGAUCGGUUUUAUUUGGCCUAAAGCGUCCGUAGCUGGUUUGGUAAAUCUCUUGUGAAAUCGUUAAGCUUAACUUAACGGCGUGCAGGAGAGACUGCUAGACUAGGGACCGGGAGGAGUCAGAGGUAUGCUGGGGGGAGCGGUAAAAUGCAAUAAUCCUCAGUAGACCACCUGUGGCGAAGGCGCCUGACUAGAACGGGUCCGACAGUGAGGGACGAAAGCCAGGGGAGCAAACCGGAUUAGAUACCCGAGUAGUCC